rnacentral:lncRNA from 1 species
GAUGACCUCACAUAGGUGGUUCGCGCAGUCUGGGACAGGUGGGUGGAGUUUUUCGUUUCAUUAAACUUCAGCAGUCUGCGGGGACUAAAAGCCUCAGAGCUCAAGACCGCAAAAAAGGAAGCUCUUUUGGGGCUUGGAUCUGGUUCUCCAGGAUAUCCACACUCAGCUUUUAGAGAUGUCAGGCGUCUUAAGAACACCUCAUCUCGGUGCUUAGGGCGAACACACGCAGACCUUUAGCGUCCCACGUGGGGGUUGUGCCCUUGGAGAUUGUUUUGGUGAUUCAGAAUUCCCUGAGAUGCCAUUUGAAUUUUAAGAUACCAGAUUUGAUAUAAAUGUUGUAACAUAGGUGUGUAGAUAGUGGAUCCUGGAUGGAACUGGCUUCUUACUGAGAAGAAUAUAAUUCUGCAUGAGGACUUUAUCCAAACCUGUGUCAUGCCUCUGUGCAUACCCAAUUAAACACUGGAAAUAAAAUUGUUUUGGUGAACUUUGAAAAAAAAAAAAGAAAGGGCAUUGAUUUAGUCCAUUACUUUGUCUACAUCAUCA